AUGUCUUCCUCCUCAUCCCACGCCACGGCCAAUCCCCUCAACAACCAAAUCACCGAGAAGCUUACCCGUGAAAACUUCCUUCUGUGGAAGACCCAACUCCUUCCCCAGAUACGAGGAGCCUCCCUUUUCGGAUACCUAGAUGGAUCCAUUGUCGAGCCUGAGAAAACCAUCACCAGCACCGACAAAGAUGGCAAGCCUACGAGCAUGCCAAACCCGGCGCACGCGACCUGGGUCACCCAGAACCAGCAAGUGCUUGCCUACCUCCUGACUUCGAUCUCGAGGGAGGUGCUGACGCAGAUGGUCGCCGUGGAGACGGCGCACGCGGCAUGGACCGCUUGGACGAACAUCUUUUCAUCGCACUCCCUCUCUCGAAUCAACAACCUCCGGAUCUCCCUCUCCAACGCCGAGAAAGGAACCCAGUCAAUCGCGGUCUACUUCGCCAAGAUGCGGUAG
rnacentral:rRNA from 1 species